rnacentral:rRNA from 1 species
CCUACGGGAGGCAGCAGUGAGGAAUAUUGGUCAAUGGACGAGAGUCUGAACCAGCCAAGUAGCGUGAAGGAUGACUGCCCUAUGGGUUGUAAACUUCUUUUGUCAAGGGACAAAAUCAGGCUCGAGAGCCUGACCGAGGGUACUUGAAGAAAAAGCAUCGGCUAACUCCGUGCCAGCAGCCGCGGUAAUACGGGGGAUGCGAGCGUUAUCCGGAUUUAUUGGGUUUAAAGGGUGCGUAGGCGGACUGUUAAGUCAGCGGUAAAAGCCCGGGGCUCAACCCCGGCGAGCCGUUGAAACUGGCUGUCUUGAGAUGUCGAGAGGUAUGCGGAAUGCGCAGUGUAGCGGUGAAAUGCUUAGAUAUUGCGCAGAACUCCGAUUGCGAAGGCAGCAUACCGGCGGCGAUCUGACGCUGAGGCACGAAAGCGUGGGUAUCGAACAGGAUUAGAUACCCCUGUAGUC